rnacentral:misc_RNA from 1 species
CAGUUGGUAUCUCAUACUGGUUGGUAUCCUUUGAUAUUGUUGUAUUAUAUGUUGUUUCUUUUUGGUUUGUUAUUGUUGAAUCGCAAGCUGUAGAUUUAUCUUCUAAUACUGCAGAAGUAGAAGAUUUACAUGAAAUUGCACCACCAAAUUCACAUUGCUUAUUAGAUAAACUAGAAGUAGUUGGUGUUAGAAUUGAUGAUUUGGAUGCUGGAGAAUUAUGCAAAGUUUCUGAUACAGUAGGAGGUACUUGGAAUGUUGGACUUGAUAAUGUUGUUGUCGUCGUGGGUUUCCAACAGAAAGGUGUAGAUCUACUCUCUGCGUUAUCAGACACUGAUGCUUUACUUUUUGAUGUAGGAAAAGUAAGAAACUGACUCGUACUUGCGUCAGCAAAUGCAUGUUGUUUAUUAGAUAAACUAGAAGUAGUUGGUGUUAAAAUUGAUGAUUUGGAUGCUGGAGAAUUAUGCAAAGUUUGUGAUGCAGUAGAUACUUGGAAUGUUGGACUUGAUAAUGUUGUUGUUGUCGUUGGUUUCCAACAGAAAAGUGUAGAUCUACUCUCUGCAUUAUCACACACUGACUCUUUACUUUUUGAUGUUGGAGCAGUAAGAAACUGACUCGUACUUGCGUCACCAAAUGCAUAUUGUUUAUUAGAUAAACUAGAAGUAGUUGGUGUUAAAAUUGAUGAUUUGGAUGUUGGAGAAUUAUGCAAAGUUUGUGAUGCAGUAGGAGGUACUUGGAAUGUUGGACUUGAUAAUGUUGUUAUUGUCGUUGGUUUCCAACAGAAAAGUGUAGAUCUAUUCUCUGCAUUAUCACACACUGACUCUUUACUUUUUGAUGUUGGAGCAGUAAGAAACUGACUCGUACUUGCGUCACCAAAUGCAUAUUGUUUAUUAGAUAAACUAGAAGUAGUUGGUGUUAAAAUUGAUGAUUUGGAUGUUGGAGAAUUAUGCAAAGUUUCUGAUGCAGUAGGAGGUACUUGGAAUGUUGGACUUGAUAAUGUUGUCGUCGUUGGUUUCCAAGAGAAAGCUGUAGAUCUACUCUCUGCAUUAUCACACAUUGACUCUUUACUUUUUGAUGUUGGAGAAGUAAGACACUGACUCGUACUUGCGUCACCAAAUGCAUAUUGUUUAUUAGAUAAACUAAGAGUAUUUGGUGCUAAAAUUGAUGAUUUGGGAAUUGCAAGUUCAACUUGCGCGCAACGUUCAUGGAUCCAUGCUUUUUGACAUGUACCUGAAGCUGGGUCAGGUGUUUGUACAGUUUUUGCACAUUUAUUAUCUGACAAUGUUAGAGCUUCAAAAGCACU